rnacentral:rRNA from 1 species
CACGUAGGAGGCGAGCGUUGUCCGGAAUCAUUGGGCGUAAAGAGCGCGCAGGCGGCUUGGCAAGUCGGGUGUGAAAGCCCUCGGCUUAACUGAGGAAGUGCACCCGAAACUGAGUAGCUAGAGUACGAAAGAGGGUCGCGGAAUUCCCGGUGUAGAGGUGAAAUUCGUAGAUAUCGGGAGGAACACCGGUGGCGAAGGCGGCGACCUGGGUCGAGACUGACGCUGAGGCGCGAAAGCGUGGGGAGCAAACAGG